rnacentral:rRNA from 1 species
UACGUAGGGGGGCUAGCGUUGUCCGGAUUUAUUAGGCGUAAAGAGCGUGUAGGCGGCCAGGUAGGUCUGCUGUGAAAACUCGAGGCUCAACCUCGAGACGUCGGCGGAAACCAUCUGGCUAGAGUCCGGAAGAGGAGAGUGGAAUUCCUGGUGUAGCGGUGAAAUGCGCAGAUAUCAGGAAGAACACCCGUGGCGAAGGCGGCUCUCUGGGACGGUACUGACGCUGAGACGCGAAAGCGUGGGGAGCGAACAGG